AGUUUGAUCCUGGCUCAAGACGAACGCUGGCGGCGUGCCUAACACAUGCAAGUCGAACGGAGAUACGCGCUGAAUGGAUGGAGCUUGCUUUUGAAAUUCUUGUGUAUCUUAGUGGCGGACGGGUGAGUAACGCGUGAGCAACCUGCCUUUCAGAGGGGGAUAACGUUUGGAAACGAACGCUAAUACCGCAUGAGACCACGGUACUGCAUAGUACAGUGGCCAAAGGAGCAAUCCGCUGAAAGAUGGGCUCGCGUCCGAUUANGUAGUUGGCGGGGUAACGGCCCACCAAGUCGACGAUCGGUAGCCGGACUAGAGAGUUGAACGGCCACAUUGGGACUGAGACACGGCCCAAACUCCUACGGGGAGGCAGCAAUGAGGGAUAUUGGUCAUGGGGGAAAACCCCGAACCCCCAACCCCCCCUGAAGGAAAACCGUUUUCCCGAUUGUAAACCCCCGGCCCCCCGCGAGAUAAUGACGGGUCCAAAAGAAGGAAACCCCGCCGNCNUNUUGGCCGCGGCCCCGGGUUUUCCUUUGGAAGGGGGCGUUGCCGGGAUUUUUGGGUGUUAAGGGGGCCGUAACCCGCCCCCCGCAGCCCCAAAAG
rnacentral:rRNA from 1 species